rnacentral:lncRNA from 1 species
UGUGAUAUAUGUAUGAGAAUACGGUAUUCAUUCGUACGACGCUUAUGUAGAGGUCGUGGACGAAUUGUUGCCAUGAUUGAGAAUGAGACGCAUUGUAUGGAACAUGCCAUAUUAUUAUUUGUGUAUUGUGGUGAAUGAAGUCGCCUGUGACUGAUGGAUUUUGUUAUGGUUCGUGGAACCGAUGAUUGUGCAACCGAACAUGU